CAUUUGGGCUCACAGCUUCUAGAUGGGUCUCUGCAGGAGCUUUGUAGGCUGCUCAACAUGAAUCUUCUGCCUCUGACUGUGCGAUCACUGCUCUGCCCUUGGAGUUCUCCUCCUUUUCUUGAAGGAUACCACAUGUUUGCAGCAUAUAGAAAGAAGAUCAAAAGAGCUGAAGCUUCUGUCUGAAUUAUCCUGAGCACACUGAAUGACCCUGACUAACUGGUUCUUAAUAUUUCUGCUGGCUUAGCACCAAACGGGCACUACCUCUCUGUAGAAGCAGCCCCACAGGCUCUGAGGAAAGUAAGUGGGUGUCCUAGUGGGUAUUCUAUCAUCUGAAAACUUAACAAAAUUCAGUUUUGGUUUUGUGGGGGGUGGGGUGGUGUUUUUUGUUUUUUUUGUCUUUUGUCCUUUUAGGACCGCAUCAGCAGCAUAUAGGCUCCCAGGCUAGGGGUCCAAUCAGAGCUGCUGCCGCCAGUCUAUGCCACAGCCACAGCAACGCCAGAUCCAAGCCGCAUAUGUGACCUACACCACAGCUCACCUCAACGCUGGAUCCCCAACCCACUGAGAGAGGCUAGGGAUCAAACCCGCAACCCCAUGGUUCCCAAUCCGACUGUCUCCACUGAGCCAUGACAGGAACUCCCAGAUUCAAUUUUAAAGGAUCAUGUGUGCAAGAUAAGGUUAAGACUGCUGUCAUUAUAGAAGGAGACUCAGAUUCUGAAAAGCCUCUGAGUAUAGAAUCAGAAGCCUUUAUCAGAGUUCUUAUACUUAACACCCUGAGCCGAUAGAUAUGCCUACAAAUUGUCAAAUAUUUGCUAUCAGUUUAAAUCUGGUGAAUUAUUUCAAAUCUCUCCCAUCAUUUCUUGUCUGUCACUGCUCCCUUGUUUUCACCUAUUGCUCUAUGCUAGUGGGCUCUGGAAUAUAGCCGAUCUUACCAAUCCCUUCCAUUAAUUUAUUUCACACUGUUUGUUUUUAAGGCUACCCAAAGUAGAACUAACAGUGAGUACAAAGCUAUCACCAGUGAAAGAGUAAUAAUAAAAUUAUAAACAGUGACAGGGUAAUGAAGACAUUUAGAUUGGCUAUUUUAAAUUUUCCUUAGUUGCCAUUUUUAAGUAUCUUUUUUAUAACUUAGUUAUCAUAACUAAAUUUUCUACUGGUCUAUACAGAAUAGAUUUUCAUUGUGUCCUACUGCCAACCUAUUUUCUAUCAAUCCAUGUCCUUUCUGAGGUUGCUUCCUUUGAAAACCACCCAAAACAUACAAAAAAAAUUUAAGGUGUUUUUAAAAGUGUUUCUUUACUGCAGAAAAAAAAAAUUUAUAAUCAACUACACAGUUUUUCCAAAUAGCUAUUUUAAUAAUAUGUUAACUAAGUGCAUAUAUUAGAGUUAUACCAUUGCCUGCGAAGAUAAAUGAGCUUUGUUUUAGUGAGAAGAUCCUGAAAAGUAAAGGACUGAACUUGGGAAAAGAAUGUUUCUAUACCCUUGUCCUUUUAUCUUCCCUGCACUUAAAUAAUUUGAGAAUCUUGUUAGGCGAUUGUGAAAUAUAAAUGUAGGUGGACUGUUGAAAUGGAAAGCUUGAAGAAACAUGGGGUUCAUCAUGACCUGAGGGUGGAACAAAACAAGGAGAACGUUGUUGUUGUAAGGCGUAGCUCAUCUCCCUUCUGUAUUUUCUUCCUGUGAUCGGAUUUAAAUGAGUAAAGUACCUUCAGUGAAGAGUGUGACUGUUCUCCACACAGAAAUCAGAGAAUUUAUUGUUCCCAACUGUUUAUCAGAGUAAUCAUUAUAACCCAGUAACUAACGGAACUUCCUUGACCUAUCCAGAGAAUACGGCCACAUAUUUAUAAUUCUGAAGUCAUUUUGGUGAUUAGACUCAAGUGAUAGUGAACACAUAUUUCCAACACCAUCUUCCACAUGAAAUGCAGUAUUACCUAAACCCCGAGUUCACUGGCCUACAAGAAGAACAUAUCCUUUGAACUCACAUUUAAGCAUGGGACUGCAUGUAUUUAAUCAACUUCUGGACAACAAUGAAGUUGGGAAUGGACUUCUAGAUUCUAAGCCACAAUUUGUAUUUCAAAGAUCAGCUUAACAACAAUGACCAAGUCUGACCAACUAAACUUUGUAAACAUUGUUAAGGAUAAAGAUAAUAUCUAAUGUAUUUGGCCUCUAGCAAAUGCUGAGACAAACAGCUAAGAGUUUUAUUUUUCUCCCUACAGCCAAAUUCAUAUUCCACUCUCAGGUUUCUUCUGUGUCUACACAACAGAGUAUCUUCUGUGGCCUUCUAGAAAGUCACAUAUUGUUUCUACAAAGGCUAAAAGGUUUUUUUGAGCUGCCCCAGGUGAAGGAACAGUACAAUAAUCCAUUUAAUUCUCCCAAAGUCACAGCCUCCUCGUGCCUUCUUAUUCAUCUGUUUACUUCCUGUGCUUACUUUCUGGAUAAAAUAGAAAGUCCUUGCACAAAAUGAACUGUAAAUUUGAAAUAUAAAAUCUCAACAGUUAGUGGUUUCUAAGUAUUUAACUAAUAUCUUCUAAUAUUUUAUCAAUGUAGACAAGAGGAAAAUGGGAGAUUAAUUACAUGUCCAUCACACAAAAGUCCCUGGAGAAUACUCAACAUUUAAAACAAGGUACAGACUAAAUAAAUUAUUAUUAUAAGAUAAAAUAGAGAAUGAUAGUAGUGUAUUUCACAGGCAAAGCAUAGAAAAUGUGGAAUACUUCAGAUAAAUAUAUUUUGGAACAGACUAUAUGACUAGGAAGUACAAUAUCUGAUUUCAUGUCAAUGGAGCUUUUCCUGUUUUUAAUUCUAUACUUCUUCACUGAGACAUCUUAAAUGUAUAAAUAUAUCAACCAAAGAAGGAGACAAAAAGCAUAAUCCCUUUUUCAAAAGAAGACUCAUCUUGCAUUAAGAUGACAUUUCAUGAUUUCCCAAGAAAUGUCUAUUUAACUUGUAUAUAUAUACACACACAUAUAUAUUUAUGUUAUUUGCUUUUUCUUAGGGCCACAUCUGUGGAAUAUGGAAGUUGUGGGCUAUGAGUUGAACCAGAGCCAUAGCUGCCAGCCUACUACACCACAGCCACAGCCACAAGGGAUGUGAGCACAUCUAUAACCUACACCAGAGCACGUGGCACUACCAGAUCCUUAACCCACUGAGGAAGACCAAGGAUUGAACCCACAUCCUCAUGAAUACUAGUCAGGUUUGUUUCCACUGAGCCACAAUGGGAAUUCCCUUACAUUUUGAAAUAAUGAUUUUUCCCCUGUAUUAAACAGUAAUAAAGUGUUCUAAUUAACUUUGAACCCAAAGGAGGAAAACAGGAGAAAAGCGAUAUUGAAUGAAAAUAACCACUUCAUCUUCUGAUUCAAGCAAGAGUCAAACGUGAGACACAAUCUCAAAGUUUGUCUAAGAUUCCUUAGUAAAUGCUAAGAGCAAGCCAAUUGUGAUCAGAUUCAAUCUAAACAUAAUAAUGACUAUGGAAAAAAGCUGCUGUGAAGGAAAAAUGAUGAAAAUGUCAUUCCAAGAGAAAGUUUAUAAUUUUCAGAGUAGCUCAGAGGUAAACAGUUUAUGCCUACAAAUUUCUAAUGGUUAUGAGAAAUAAAAGUUCUUCUUAAAAUUGAACAAUAUUACAUAAUUUGCCUUUUCCAAUUGACUCAAACCAUCUCUUUAUUAACCUAGUUUUAUUUUUAUCUAAUUGUUUACAUUUGAAUGGAAAAGCUUUAUGGUGCAGAGAAAGGUGCAAUUGUUACAAAUGGAGGUGUUAUUCUUCAUUUCAGAGUUAUUCUUAAAUGUUCACAGAAAAAAAAAUGGAUAUUGAAUGUUUUGUCACACCUUUACUGGCCAAUUGCAUAAUGCCUCUUGUACAUUUCAUCAAAAGAUGAGCAUUUAAUGGUAUGUAUCAAAGACAAAUUCCUUCAGCUUGGAGUUAAAAAAAUCCAUCAUAACUACAAUGAUGCCACCAAGUGGCAAAAAGUGUGAUCUCUUAAAACCUCACAUCUGUGUAGCAUGUCCUGAAAGCUACUGUAAGAAAAUUUAUAUUUCAAAGGCCAAAUUUAAUCAGUGAAAUUUCUUUAUUUAUAAGAGCUUGUUGUCACAUGCUUUGGUUUAUUUUAUGACUUUUUGUUUAAUUCACAAGUCUUCUCCAAAUUCAUUUGCAAUGUGUCUUUCCCUUAUUCAUUCAGCAUUUACUGAACUCUCAACUCUGUUAGUCACAGGGACUAAGCUCUAGAAACACAGGAAUUUGUAGGACAAACAGUGUCUCUGCCUUCAUUAUGUGUUGAGUCUCACAACUUUUUCAACAAAUGCUCUGAUGUCUAGCUUAAAUUUAAAAAUCUUUUUAGAGCUACAAAACCUGGUUCUGUGAAAGAUUUAAAGCAUCAAAAGCAUCUUUGCAUUCAGUUCAAGCAUUCAUAUAUAUUAAAGCACUUCUUAUUGUUAUCUGCAACCUUCUGGAGAAUUGCAUAGCUGUCCUUUUAUCAACACCAAUUAACCACUAUUUAUUUUUUGUAUGCUAUUAGGCAAUUAAAGGUGCACAGGAUGAUAUGCUUUUUUAAAAUAGUCUGUUGCCACCUAAAUGACAUUUCAAAGGAGUAUCAAUUUUAGGAGAGUAGCAAAAAUAGGUCAUUUUAGCAAAGGAAAUUCUUCCAUAAGUGGAUCUAACUGAACGCACAUCUAUUAUUUUACAUAUCAGAAUAACUGAAUUUUGGCACUCAGUGAAUUUUUUCUUUAAUUUAAAACCCUGUUGCUACUACUAGAGUGUCAUUAUAGGAAACUUUAAAUACCACCAUUAAUCAUCUGAAGUUCAAAAAAAUGGUAGCAACAAAAUAGAAUCAAGGAUCAAGACAACACCAUAAAGCUGUAGUCAUGAAACAGUAUUUCUGGCAUAAAAACAAACAAGUAGACCAGUGGAACGGAAUUGAGAGCCCAGAAAAUAAACCCAAACUAAUAUUUGACAAGUGAGCCAAGAAUAUGCAAAUGGAGAUAAGACAGUCCUUUCAAUAAAUGGUGCUGGGAUAACUGGAUAUUCACAUGUAAAAGAAUGAAACUGGACUUAUAUCUUAUGCCAUUCAGAAAAAUUAACUCAAAAUGGGUUAAAGGCUUUAACUUCACAACUAGGAUAACAUUCAACUAAAAACUUCUACACAGCAAAGGAAAUCAUUAACAAAAUGAAAAGGCAAUCUACUGAAUGGAAGAAAAUAUUUGCAAAUCAUAUACCUGAUAGAAAUGGGCAAAUAACUUGAGCAGAUAUUGUUUCAAAAAAAUACACAAAAGGCCAAGAGGUACAUGAAAAGAUGCUAAACAUCACUAGUCAUUAGAGAAAUGCAAAUUAAAGCCACGAUGAGAUAUCACCUCACUCAUGUUAAAAUGGCUAUAAUCAAAAAGACAAAAGACAACUAAUGCUGAUGUGGAUAUGCAGAAAAGUGAACAUUUAUACAGCAUUGGUAGGACUGUUAAUUGGUACAGCCACUAUGUAAAAUAGUAUGGAGGAACCUCAAAAAAUUAAAAUUAGAAUUACCAUAUGGUCCAGCAAUUUCACUUCUGGGACUAUAUCAAAAGGAAUCAAAAAUGCUAACCUGAAAAGACAUCCGUAUCCCAUGUUCAUAGCAGCAUUAUUUACAAUAGCCAAGACAUGGAAACAGCCUAAUGUCUACUGAUGGAUAAAUGGAUAAAGAUGUGGUAUAUACCACACACACACACACACAAACACACACACACAGGAAUAUUAUUCAGCCAUUAAAAAAACAAAGAAAUCAUCCCAUUUCCAGCAACAUAGGUGUACACUGAAGGCAUAAUGCUAAAUGAAAAAAAAAAAAAAA
rnacentral:lncRNA from 1 species